UUGUGAAAGGAUGGCAGGGUUUCUUUCUUGCCAUGAAGUGUUUUUCCUCCUUUGCUGUUUGGGACAUGUAAUAAGGAAGAAUUGCGAGUGUUCGUGCUAAAGGAGAAUCUCUCUCAUCCCUUCAAUAAGCCCUUAAUAACUGAGGUGAAGCGUGAAACACAGGCUAUUGGACUCUGGCAAAACCUGGACAGAUCUCUAGAUCAGCUUUCAGGCCUACUUCCUCAAGUCUCAGAUGGCCCACAUCCCAUUCUAAGCAUUCUCUCCAGUUCAUCUGUCUCCAAGAGUGAUGGCUAGUAGCAGACAGUGUUCCAGCUACGGUCUCACUUGCACUGAAGAGAAAUUCUCUCAUGUGGCCUAAGCAAGCUAUCGAAUACUGAUGCAGCUAUUUCUGAGAAGUUAGAUAUUUGCUUGGUAGAACUUCUGUUUACUUUUCACUCAGAACAUCCUAAACUUAAGGUAAACAAAAGUUAACAGUACUUACGUGGGGAGGUUGAACCUUUCUCCUCUUGCCAGAACAGCUCUAAAGAAAAGACAUAAUCAAAACAGACUUAAUGUUGCACUGACAGAGGACCACAAGUAAUUCUGUAACAACAUUGACAAGAGUCUUUAAAGUACAGGAAGGACACUGGCUGCCAUUCCAUGGAUUAAAGAAAUCUUUUUCAUAAUUAAGUACUUUGGAUCACAGGAAAUACUACUGGAGAACAGUCAGAAGCUGUUGAAGUUUCUCCACGCUUGGCAGCCAACAACUACCAACUUAACUGAAGCUUCCUUCAGACAAAACCAAGAUCAAUAUCCAGCUUUUGAAACUGUCAAUAUUUUUCUCCCUAAAAUUUUCCUGUAUCCACACCAAUAUUCAUGCAAAACUUUGGACAAAAAAAUGCUAAUUACUGCACAACACUACUAUUGCCACCAUCACAAAUUUUUCCCAGAUCCCAUCCUAGAGAAGAUCCUAAAGCACUUUCCAUGGAAAUUUCAGCUUAUGAAAGUGUAUGUUUUAACUUCUGGUUUCCAACAACUUAAAGGAAUAGCCUCACAAAUAAUAUUGGUCUCCAACACAAACAAAAAAAAUGGAACAAAAAUUGAUAAUAUUGCUAUUGAUUUUUAAUUGCUGACUCUUCUUUGGCUGGUCUCAAGGGAGAAGAUAUAAAUUAAAAUAUGAUCAACAGUAAAAGAGACAUUCUUACUGUUACAUGCGGAAAGAAGAGCAAGAUAACAGACAAGAAAUUUCUACAGCCAAGCAGAGACUGAUGUAGUAACAACUAAUGUUCUCUUUGUCCUAAUCUCCUUUGGUGAGUGAAGGAUAAGGUUUACUAUUCAGAAAGAGACAGAACUCUGCCUGAAGCCCAGCAAAAAGAAACCAAAGUCAUAGAACCACACAAAACAAUUUUUAAAGGGUUUAGUCUCUCAUCCUGUUGGAAGUUAUUUGACAUAGUAGAUGUUUAGUAAUCAGAUCAUGUACAGAAGUCCAAAGGAUUGCAGCUGAUUUAAGCCAUUAAUGAUUUGUAUUGAGAUCAAAACUUUAGUCAAUUUUCUUGUCUUAAGAAGCACUUCAGA